GGGAUUGCCCUAGUAACGGCGAGUGAAGCGGCAACAGCUCAAAUUUGAAAUCUGGCGCAAGCCCGAGUUGUAAUUUGUAGAGGAUGCUUCUGGGUAGCGACCGAUCUAAGUUCCUUGGAACAGGACGUCAUAGAGGGUGAGAAUCCCGUAUGUGACCGGCCCGCACCCUUUACGUAGCUCCUUCGACGAGUCGAGUUGUUUGGGAAUGCAGCUCUAAAUGGGAGGUAAAUUUCUUCUAAAGCUAAAUAUUGGCCAGAGACCGAUAGCGCACAAGUAGAGUGAUCGAAAGAUGAAAAGUACUUUGGAAAGAGAGUUAAACAGCACGUGAAAUUGUUGAAAGGGAAGCGCCUGCAACCAGACUUCGCGGCAGUGUUCCACCGGUCUUCUGACCGGUUCAUUCUCUGUCGCGAGGCCAUCAUCGUCUCGGCCCGCCAGAUAAGACCUGAGGAAUGUAGCUCACCUUCGGGGGAGUGUUAUAGCCUCUGGUGAUGUGGCGCGGCUGGGGCGAGGUCCGCGCUUCGGCAAGGAUGAUGGCGUAAUGGUUGUCGGCGGCCCGUCUUGAAACACGGACCAAGGAGUCUAACAUCUAUGCGAGUGUUCGGGUGUCAAACCCCUACGCGUAAUGAAAGUGAACGGAGGUGGGAACCGCAAGGUGCACCAUCGACCGAUCCUGAUGUCCUCGGAUGGAUUUGAGUAAGAGCAUAGCUGUUGGGACCCGAAAGAUGGUGAACUAUGCCUGAAUAGGGUGAAGCCAGAGGAAACUCUGGUGGAGGCUCGCAGCGGUUCUGACGUGCAAAUCGAUCGUCAAAUUUGGGUAUAGGGGCG
rnacentral:rRNA from 1 species